rnacentral:rRNA from 1 species
AUUGAACGCUGGCGGCAGGCUUAACACAUGCAAGUCGAGCGGAGAUGAGGUGCUUGCACCUUAUCUUAGCGGCGGACGGGUGAGUAAUGCUUAGGAAUCUGCCUAUUAGUGGGGGACAACAUUCCGAAAGGAAUGCUAAUACCGCAUACGUCCUACGGGAGAAAGCAGGGGAUCUUCGGACCUUGCGCUAAUAGAUGAGCCUAAGUCGGAUUAGCUAGUUGGUGGGUAAAGGCCUACCAAGGCGACGAUCUGUAGCGGGUCUGAGAGGAUGAUCCGCCACACUGGGACUGAGACACGGCCCAGACUCCUACGGGAGGCAGCAGUGGGGAAUAUUGGACAAUGGGGGGAACCCCGAUCCAGCCAUGCCGCGUGUGUGAAGAAGGCCUUAUGGUUGUAAAGCACUUUAAGCGAGGAGGAGGCUACUGAGACUAAUACUCUUGGAUAGUGGACGUUACUCGCAGAAUAAGCACCGGCUAACUCUGUGCCAGCCGCCGCAGUAAAAC